ACUGGGUACCUACUCCUCAUUCAGUAGAGCAUGAGACUCUAAAACUCAAGGUUGUGGGUUCGAGUCCCACAUUCAACA